ACAGCCUUAAGUUAAGAAAACUAAAACCCUUCAAAGGUUUAAAUGAGGAAUCAGGCUGUG
rnacentral:tRNA from 1 species